AUGAGCUCCCAGGUUUCCCAGAAUUAUUCCACGGAGGUGGAGGCAGUCGUCAACCACAUGCUCAACUUGCAUCUGGCGGCCUCCUACACCUACCUCUCUCUAGACUUCUCUAUGUACCGCAAAACUACGUGGCUCUGGAAGGCGUGGGCCACUUCUUGCACGAACUGGCAGUGAUAAAGCGCAAGGGCGCCCAGCGUCUCAUGAAGACGCAAAACGAGCGUGGCGACCGCCCCCUCUUCCAGAAUAUCCAGAAGCCCUCUCAAGAUGUGUGGGGUAAAACCCUGGACGCCAUGGAAGCCGCCAUGACCUUGGAGAAGAACCUGAACCAAGCCCUUUUGGACUUUCAUACCCUGGGAUCUGCCCGUACAGACCCCCAUCUCUGUGACUUCCUGGAGAACCACUUCCUAGAUGAGGAAGUGAAACUCAUCAAGAAGAUUGGUGACCACCUGACCAACCUUCACAGGCUGGCCGGGCUGGAGGCUAGGCUGAGCGAGUACCUCUUCAAAAGGCUCACCCUCAAGCACGACUGGGGCAGGGAGCGGGGGGCUCAAAUUGCUUCUUUAAUUAAAAAGGAUGUAGAAUUGUUUAAUAAUCUGGUGAAAAGGCUGUGUAUCGGUGACUUGUGUUUGGGAGUUGAUUACGUUACUUGA